UACAGAGGUCUCAAGCGUUUGUUCGGAUUCAUUGGGCGUAAAGGGUGCGUAGGCGGCGCGGUAAGUCGGGUGUGAAAUCUCGGAGCUUAACUCCGAAACUGCAUUCGAUACUGCCGUGCUUGAGGACUGGAGAGGAGACUGGAAUUUACGGUGUAGCGGUGAAAUGCGCAGAUAUCAGGGAGGAACACCCGAUUGCGAAGGCAGCUCG
rnacentral:rRNA from 1 species